rnacentral:rRNA from 1 species
CACCUACGGGGCGCAGCAGUGGGGAAUAUUGGACAAUGGGGGGAACCCUGAUCCAGCGACGCCGCGUGAGUGAAGAAGUAUUUCGGUAUGUAAAGCUCUAUCAGCAGGGAAGAAAGAAAUGACGGUACCUGACUAAGAAGCCCCGGCUAACUACGUGCCAGCAGCCGCGGUAAUACGUAGGGGGCAAGCGUUAUCCGGAUUUACUGGGUGUAAAGGGAGCGUAGACGGCGAUGCAAGUCUGAAGUGAAAUGCCGGGGCCCAACCCCGGAACUGCUUUGGAAACUGUGCGGCUCGAGUGCGGGAGG